CGAUUCUUAAUUAUUAUUAUU
rnacentral:snRNA from 1 species